rnacentral:misc_RNA from 1 species
AUAAAGGUUACAAACCAUCUGUAAUACGAUAAAGACAGUUUGAGCAGGCCCCCAUACAUCAGAAUAGAUAGUCAUAAAAAGAACUGAAGCCUUAUUAUUUAUUGUAGGAUAAGAUUGUCUAGUAUGUUUGGCAAACUCACAAGGAUCACAUACUAACAAUUCAUUUUUGCAUUUCUUAAACAGAAAAGCAUAAAGUUUCUCUAAAACAGUAAAUGAAGGAUGUCCAAGUCUCCUAUGCCACUGGAUAAUUUCUUCCUCAGCACUCAUAAACUGUCCCAACAUGGCCUGAUCAACACAAUCAUUCAAUAAAUAUAGCCCAUCUUGCAGUCUAUCAUUGCCAAUCGUUCUCCCAGUUAUCAACUCCUGCAGCCAUUAAAGGAAGUGAUGUUAAUCUAUCCACCAAUGGAAGCCUUGUGAAUUGUGUAUAGUAUAAGGUUCCCAAUGGGGUAGGCAAUUGAGGCUGAUCUUGGAAUACUGGAAAUUCAACCUCCAAUCCCUCCGUGGAAUAAAGUGCAGACCUUAUUCUGUUGGUGAAGGGCGUGAUGCCCAGUUCAUUGACAAGGCUAAAUAUGUUUUGGUAGGGAUUCCAAAAACCUUGGAUACCAACAUCAUCUGGAUUGCCAAAAUCAUUACCAUCAUCAAGAACAGUAACAUCAAAACCCUGGUUACAGAGGUGAUGAGCAGCACCAAGACCAGCCCAGCCGGAGCCAACAAUGACCACCUUCUUUUUCUUGCUAUGGUCUCCAUUAUUUACAUUGAAUUGUGGGGUUUCUGCUUUGCAAGAAAACCCACCUCUAUUUCCUCCGUUGUUUACAAUUGAAGGAGCUCGUGUGAAGGUGAACCUGCAGCAAACCAACAUUUCUUUUGUCCUUCUCUCUCUAACGGUUUUGUCCAACUGCCAAUCAAUUGGCUCAAGAAAGCUAAUAAUUGUG